GAUGAACGCUGGCGGCGUGCUUAACACAUGCAAGUCGAACGAAGCAACUUAUUACGAUCCCUUCGGGGUGACGAUUUGUUGACUGAGUGGCGGACGGGUGAGUAACGCGUGGGUAACCUCCCUUGUCCAGGGGGACAACAGUUGGAAACGACUGCUAAUACCGCAUAAGCGCACAGCUUCGCAUGAAGCAGUGUGAAAAGUUUUUCGGUACAAGAUGGACCCGCGUCUGAUUAGCUAGUUGGUGAGGUAACGGCCCACCAAGGCGACGAUCAGUAGCCGACCUGAGAGGGUGACCGGCCACAUUGGGACUGAGACACGGCCCAAACUCCUACGGGAGGCAGCAGUGGGGAAUAUUGCACAAUGGGCGAAAGCCUGAUGCAGCGACGCCGCGUGAGCGAAGAAGUAUUUCGGUAUGUAAAGCUCUAUCAGCAGGGAAGAUAAUGACGUAC
rnacentral:rRNA from 1 species